rnacentral:rRNA from 1 species
GACGAACGCUGGCGGCGUGCUUAACACAUGCAAGUCGAGCGGUAAGGCCCUUUCGGGGGUACGACGAGCGGCGAACGGGUGGAGUAACACGUGGGUGACCUGCCCUCAGCUCUGGGAUAAGCCCGGGAAACUGGGUCUAAUACCGGAUAUGACUUCAUGACGCAUGUUGUGGAGUGGAAAGCCUUGUGCGGCUGAGGAUGGGCCCGCGGCCUAUCAGCCUGUU